GAAGAGCAUCCUACGGGAGGCAGCAGUGGGGAAUAUUGCACAAUGGGCGCAAGCCUGAUGCAGCCAUGCCGCGUGUAUGAAGAAGGCCUUCGGGUUGUAAAGUACUUUCAGCAGUGAGGAAGGUGGGUAUGUUAAUAGCAUACUCAUUUGACGUUAGCUGCAGAAGAAGCACCGGCUAACUCCGUGCCAGCAGCCGCGGUAAUACGGAGGGUGCGAGCGUUAAUCGGAAUUACUGGGCGUAAAGCGCAUGCAGGUGGUUUGUUAAGUCAGAUGUGAAAGCCCGGGGCUCAACCUCGGAAUUGCAUUUGAAACUGGCAAACUAGAGUACUGUAGAGGGGGUAGAAUUUCAGGUGUAGCGGUGAAAUGCGUAGAGAUCUGAAGGAAUACCGGUGGCGAAGGCGGCCCCCUGGACAGAUACUGACACUCAGAUGCGAAAGCGUGGGGAGCAAACAGGAUUAGAUACCCUGGUAG
rnacentral:rRNA from 1 species